rnacentral:sRNA from 1 species
ACCGCCAGGCUGGCGGUGGUUCUAACAGAAUUGAGUUUGAAAACUACCAUAGUGUACUCGGAGUUUUCAAACUCAUAGGUUUGGUUUUGACAAGGAUGUCAAAACCAAACCGUU